CUAGGUACUGGAGGUCCGAACCCACUAAUUUUGAAAAAUUAGGGGAUGAGCUGUGGAUAGGGGUGAAAGGCUAAACAAAUCCGGAAAUAGCUGGUUCUCCCCGAAAACUAUUUAGGUAGUGCGUCAUGUAUCACUUGCGGGGGUAAAGCACUGUUAUGGCUAGGGGGUCAUCGCGACUUACCAAACCAUGGCAAACUCUGAAUACCGCAAAGUGCGAGCAUGGCAGACAGACAGUGGGUGCUAACGUCCAUUGUCAAGAGGGAAACAACCCAGACCGCCAGCUAAGGUCCCCAAGACACAGUUAAGUGGGAAACGAAGUGGGAAGGCAUAGACAGCUAGGAGGUUGGCUUAGAAGCAGCCAUCCUUUAAAGAAAGCGUAAUAGCUCACUAGUCGAGUCGUCCUGCGCGGAAGAUGUAACGGGGCUCAAACUGUGCACCGAAGCUGCGGAUAUCGAAAGAUAUGGUAGGGGAGCGUUCUGUAGGUCUGUGAAGGUGUCUUGUAAAGGAUGCUGGAGAUAUCAGAAGUGCGAAUGCUGACAUGAGUAGCAAUAAAGGGCGUGAAAAGCGCCCUCGCCGAAAGCCCAAGGUUUCCUACGCAACGUUCAUCGGCGUAGGGUGAGUCGGCUCCUAAGGCGAGGCAGAAAUGCGUAGUCGAUGGGAAACAGGUCAAUAUUCCUGUACCGAUUCUAGAUGCGAUGUGGGGACGGAGAAGGUUAGGUCAGCCGGGUGUUGGACGUCCCGGUUUAAGCGUGUAGGCGUGCCCCUUAGGCAAAUCCGGGGGGCUAAGCUGAGGCGUGAUGACGAGGAACCACGGUUCCGAAGUGAUUGAUACCAAGCUUCCAGGAAAAGCCACUAAGCUUCAGUCUAGAGUUGACCGUACCGCAAACCGACACAGGUGGGCAGGAUGAAAAUUCUAAGGCGCUUGAGAGAACUCAGGAGAAGGAACUCGGCAAAUUAACACCGUAACUUCGGGAGAAGGUGUGCCCCGGUAGCGUGUAGAGACUUGCUCUCGAAGCGCGAUGGGGUUGCAGUGAAAUGGUGGCUGCGACUGUUUAAUAAAAACACAGCACUCUGCAAACACGAAAGUGGACGUAUAGGGUGUGACGCCUGCCCGGCGCCGGAAGGUUAAGUGAUGGGGUGCAAGCUCUUGAUCGAAGCCCCGGUAAACGGCGGCCGUAACAAUAACGGUCCUAAGGUAGCGAAAUUCCUUGUCGGGUAAGUUCCGACCUGCACGAAUGGCGUAACGAUGGCCACACUGUCUCCUCCUGGGACUCAGCGAAGUUGAAAUGUUUGUGAAGAUGCAAUCUACCCGCGGCUAGACGGAAAGACCCCAUGAACCUUUACUGUAGCUUUGCAUUGGACUUUGAACC
rnacentral:rRNA from 1 species